CAAGUCGAGCGGCAGCGGGAAGUAGUUUACUACUUCGCCGGCGAGCGGCGGACGGGUGAGUAAUGUCUGGGGAUCUGCCUGAUGGAGGGGGAUAACUACUGGAAACGGUAGCUAAUACCGCAUGACCUCGUAAGAGCAAAGUGGGGGACCUUCGGGCCUCACGCCAUCGGAUGAACCCAGAUGGGAUUAGCUAGUAGGUGGGGUAAUGGCUCACCUAGGCGACGAUCCCUAGCUGGUCUGAGAGGAUGACCAGCCACACUGGAACUGAGACACGGUCCAGACUCCUACGGGAGGCAGCAGUGGGGAAUAUUGCACAAUGGGCGCAAGCCUGAUGCAGCCAUGCCGCGUGUGUGAAGAAGGCCUUCGGGUUGUAAAGCACUUUCAGCGAGGAGGAAGGCAGUCGUGUUAAU
rnacentral:rRNA from 1 species